rnacentral:lncRNA from 1 species
UACAGGCACUUGCCACCAAGCUUGGCUAAUUUUUGUAUUUUUAGUAGAGACGAGCUUCACCAUGGUGGCCAGGCUGGUCUCGAACUCCUGACCUCAAGUAAUCUGCCUACCUCAGCCUCCCAAAGUGCUGGGAUUAUUGGCGUGAGCCACCAUGCCUGGUCAAAAAUUCAAAUUUGAUUAAAGCAGUAAAUCGCAGAUCAAAAAAGAUCAAUUAACCUAAAGCAAUGUAUAACCAAAGCAAACAACACCAAGGCACACUAUAAUCAAAUGGCAAAAAGCAAAUAACAAAGAAAGAAAUGUAAAAAGUAGCUAUAGGAAAACAACAUGGCUAAUUAUCAAUUGCUGUCAAAGAUGUGGAGCAAAAGAAAUUCUCAUUCAUUGUUGAUGGGAAUGAAAGUGAAGAUUUUAUUCUCACCAAGUGGACCCAAGGCACCCUUUUGAGAGGCAGUUUGGUGAUGUCUUGUAAAACUGAACAUGGUCUAGCCGUAUAAUCUAGCAAUCAUAUUGGUAGGUAUUUACCCAACUAAUUUGAAAACUUGUGCCUACACAAGAUCUGAA